rnacentral:lncRNA from 1 species
GAGAAAACGAUGUGCAAGCAAGUACUGCCGAGCGGAGCGAGGGCGAAAAUUUUUUGGGACCCUUUACUGCAGAAAAAUGUUUUUUUUUUCGGUUUUCGGUCAUAGGACGGUUUAAAGAGGAGCUACAUGUAGAUAGGACUUAUAAACAAUUUAUGAACGUAAAACUAUUAAUACUUGAAUCUUCUGAAUAGAGUAAAUCAUGGUUAAUUUAAUACAUAAACAACACAUUUUUGAAUUACAGAAUUUACUCAACAUUGACCAAAAUCUGCUCUUCGGGUCUAAGCAGAAACGAACUUCUCUAUUACUUUGUCAACAUUCACACUGAAAUCCCGAUCAAUAUGCAGUAAUGCUAGCG